CUAUUAGAAUGUGGCCUUGCUGGGAUUACCCGUGCAGGCGCCAUAGCCAUGGAGCCUGAUCAGAUCUCCGCUGCAGUUUUGACCAUUGUAAAUACCUCGCACGUUAUCCAGCAGUAUGUGCAUUACUUGCAAAACCGGGCGAGGAAGCGAUGACAGCGCAAUUACUAAACUGAUGAGGACAUGGACACAGACGGCAUGGCAUGUGGCAAGUGGGAGAUCAUGGUGCUGUUGGGCCAGGUUCAUGCCGUGGAACGCCGAUUCUGGGCCCAGGAAACAAGCACUGACUGGUGG